ACCGCUGACCUUCUGAUCGGCAAGUCCUAGGCUCUGUGGUUUAACCUACAGCGCCACCCGCGUCCCUCUCCAGAGAACAUAGACCUAAGCUUUUCCCACAUAUGUAACCCACUCCUUCUUCUCUGACAGGUGGAGGUGCUGCUGGAGGCUUUCUACAAGAUCACCCAGGGGCCCACAGUAGAGGGCAGAAAUGUGGCUGUCUGUGCUUUCUCCAUCAUAGCUUGCCAUCACUUGGAGAAAGUGAUUGAAUACCUCCCACAGUGUCACGAGCCUGUCUCCAAAUUUCUUCCUCUUCUUCCCCUUCUUUUUUGCUGCCUCGUGGCAACAGACAGAGGUUUUGGGGGGCUCCUGCUGUGGUACCAUAGCCAUUAAUAGGUCCUUCAAAAGGAAGAGUGAUUUCUUCUCUCUGUAGCAUGGCAGCAAGCAGAAGACUUGAAUCUGCAUUCACAGUGACUGCGAGAGAAUAUGGCAGGAGGUUUUUGCAUCGGCCGACCAAUAACAACUACUCCAUCUGAGGGCCGAGCAACUGUACCAAAGCCCCUUGGUGGAAUCUGCCACCGCAGUGCAACAUCUGACCAGCCUGUUGCACGCCACCCUCAGGAUGGAGGAAUACAAGGCAGCUGUGCGCCAGCACUUCCCACAGCUGCUGAUCGCUCACCUGGGAAUGCUUGUCAACUUCCUCUAUGACCAGGAAUUCCUCAGAUAAGAGGUCCUGAUUCCCAAAGCCUGUGGCAAUGACCCUCCUGGUAAUACUGGCCUUCCUUGAAUACAGAGAGGCUAAGGGACUUCUGCACCUCCUUCUCAGCACCACGAGAGAAACUAGAGAUAGCCAUCAUAGACCAAUUUUUCUGCCCGGAGAAUUUCAGCCAGGGGUUGUCUGCCAUGGUGAGGUAAGAGGAAGAACACAGUGACCUUCUAAAGGUCUGGCAAAUGGAGCUCAAGGCAUGGGAUAGGAAUGUGUCCCUGAAAGUGAUACUGGUGGAUUCCUCCCAUGGUGGAAAACAUCACCGCUUCUCUCAAGAACAAGGAGUUUUCCAGAAUGCCACAAGCAGUGAGAUCUAUCUACAUUGAGGUGAGGGGGACUGACACAGGAGGAAAUGGGUGCAGCGAGGAGGCUCUGGCUUGGUUUCUGCUGAGAGUUCGGCUUUGUGUCCUUCAAAACUGUUUCUCCCAGAGGAAAGUGCCCUUCCACUAACAGCAGAGAGUCCCCCAAGGCCAAAUUCUGCAUCUCUUCUGCCACAUCCAUGCCAUCUUUGGCUACACUGAAGACACGGUGAAGCAAAGUUUGGUCUCUGACCAAUACAACCAUGUUGUGGUUGUCUUACAACAUAGCAGAGGCAUCUUUAUUGAUGAGAUCUCUGCGGGUGAAG